rnacentral:rRNA from 1 species
UCGGGAAUUUUGGGCAAUGGGCGAAAGCCUGACCCAGCAACGCCGCGUGAGGGAUGAAGUAUUUCGGUAUGUAAACCUCGAAAGAAUGGGAAGAAUAAAUGACGGUACCAUUUAUAAGCUCCGGCUAACUACGUGCCAGCAGCCGCGGUAAUACGUAGGGAGCAAGCGUUGUUCGGAUUUACUGGGCGUAAAGGGCGCGUAGGCGGCGCGGUAAGUCACUUGUGAAAUCUCUGAGCUUAACUCAGAACGGCCAAGUGAUACUGCUGUGCUAGAGUGCGGAAGAGGCAACCGGAAUUCUUGGUGAAGCGGUGAAAUGCGUAGAUAUCAAGAGGAACACCUGAGGCGAAGGCGGGUUGCUGGGCCGACACUGACACUGAGGCACGAAAGCGUGGGGAGCAAAC